CAUGCAAAUAUGUUCAAAUUGAAAAGAGUAUAUGUCCCUGUGUCAAAUAGAGACAAUAAACAAAUGCCCCCUCAAGCCAACUUAGUACAGUUCUAGAAUAAUUAUCAUCAAUCGAAAGAAAGCAAAUAAGUGAGUGAAAGUGAAUAAGGGCAGUCCACAUCUAGGGGAAGUUGAAAACUGACCAUUAAUGUGGCUCCCGAAGGAUAUGUGAAUAAGUAUGUACCAGAUAACGACCGACUUUAUGUUCAUCGCUUGAAUAAAGCGGCUCCAAUCACAGCAAUUAAUAACGCAAGAUUAUAAUUUAAUAGAUCGUAGAACAGUAAAGGAAGGAUAUCGUAAUUAUCUAAUGGCACGUCAUAAUGACCACACCACAAAUAGAGGCUAAUAAAACAUCACAAUCUUUUCAGCAGGGAUUCAAACAUACAUAUAUGCACUUCGAACGUAUGGCCCUUUGAGGAGAAUAUCAAUUCAUUGUAUUAUUACGGCAACGACCUGAAUUCCCCAUUACCCGAUGCAGACAUGAUAUCAAUUCGCUCUACUCAAAUCCCUUAGAUUACUUUGAGUAGGAUGAAUUUAUGAAGCAUUAUGGAAACAAUUAAAACUACAUAUAUUAUUUUGGGGUUGGAUUUCCUCAAGCAAAGCCUCCAAGAGAUAUGCUCAGUAUAUAGGUUCAAAAGACGUUGACCAUAAAGUACCGGGAAAGUAAAGAUGUUAUCUUGCCACGGAAGAUUGCCGACAUUUUAUGGAAAAAUUAUAAGAGUUCAAAAACUAUCCACUUACAGUAAUAUCAAAGUAUAUAGUUUGAAAUCACUUUUCAUAAAUCUAGUUUCUGAAUAGAAUGAUAGCUCGAAUUUGCUAUUUUUACAAACGUGAGUUUAGACCAAAAAUUUAGUUUUAGAAAGAUAGAUAUUUACUUUUCCAACGUUUCCUGUGUUACCUCGACAUCAUCAAAUAUACUAAACGAAGAUAUAUUUAGGUCUAGUACUUUAAUUUUUUCCCAGUAGCGAGUUCAUAAUUUCAAUGAAAAUAAAAGUAUGGCAUUUCA